GAGAAGCCCAGAUGAUAGGCUGCUGGGGUGUUAGCGCCACCCCACCCGAGAACAACAGGAUCAAAGGGCUUUGGAAGGUCAGAAGGUAGAACCAUAUUCAGAUUGUAGCACUUCAGGGUUCUGGAAAGUACGGUAACUAUCGGCUCUAGCGUUUGAAGUGAAUGGGGCAAUGGGGCCUAGUGAUUACGUGGUCCACCUUCGGGUCUGGUUUGCAUCUCCAGCCCAGCUCUGCCAACUUCUACAUCACUUAGUCCAUUCCAGAUUCUGGGAUAGCUGACAAGUAAACACAUCUCAAGAAGGCCCAGUUCCCCGGAGCUAGGGACAAAAUUACAAUUUUCUUUUAGUGCCCGGGACACAGACUUCCUUCCCCGCUUCUGCGGGGCCCAGGCGAUACCGUGUGACUACACCUAAUGAACUUGAUUCGGAUUCUGGGCCAUUUGGUCUUUGUAGAACGUCUCCUGGGUGUUGGCGAUUCUGCGAAGGCGUGGGCCCUGCCGUGGGGUAGCUCACACACAGUGGGAUGCUCACUGAGCAGGGGGUGCUGGCCAAAAUCAGGAGAAGGCCCGGGGCACAGCAUUCACAUUUACAACCUGGCCGUUCGGUGUUGCUGUGACUGGAGCCCCCACAGGUUGGCGGGCCCUCGCUGCCGGUCAGCGUCUGUGCUCCUAGCGGUCGGAGCAGAUCUCGGGGCCCAGGGCCGACAUCACUAGUCAAUCAAGACCUUUUCUGUGCUGAGCCCGGAUGUGGCUUUAUUAUCCUCUAUGCCACCAGGCUCCAGGCAGCCACCACGCAUCGAUCGCAGUCGGCCCAGAGACCUGUUUAACUUCCUGUCCAUGCCAGUUCUUACGGCCGGUCUCGCUUGCAUUUACGCCAAUGUUCUCUUUUUAAACCGAGAACCCUCCUCCACUUGCUUCCUCAUUCUCUGCAGAUGACUCCCCCUCCGCCCCCCCUAGAAAGUGGAGCUCUGAUUAGAGAGCCAUCGGGUGACUUUCCCACUAGCAAGUACCAGUCUGCCGGCCUCCUUCCUGCUUCGAUUGCAGGUAAGGAGGUGGCCUUUACCCGUGGCCAGACCCUCUACUUGAGCUCUGGCCCCACUCUUCCUGCCUCCUUGGAAGCCUGGAGGAACAGAAAUCCAAGAACCUGCACAAGAUCUCUGGGGGCCCGGCAGGCUCAGCUUGUCCUUGAGCCUGAGAGUGGAGAAUCAGGCCUUCCCUCCCCCGGGGCGUGCACUCCUUUCCAUGGCCGUGGUCUAGGUCGCUCCAGAACAUCUGGGUUUGCACACUGGCCGCAGCCACCUCCUGGAGUGGCAGGGCUUCCGUCUGGGUCCCUAGAUGUCACCCAGGACUGCUGAGAACUAUCACCCAUGUUCACACCCCAGGUGCCCCUGAACCCACUGAAUAACCUUCAAUAGGGGUCAUAUAGAGCCUUGCUACAGAAACAUCACUGACACCACCGACACUGACAUCACUGACACUACUCUUCUGUGGGAUGUGCCAGAUAAAAAGAUGCCCUUCCCACAAUUGUGACCAUUUCUGGAAUUCUAGAGCAAGGGCCCCAUGCAUGGAGGAAACCGCGAGGACUGGGACCCUAAAACCAGGGCUCAGGUUGAAAGUCCGCCUGCGUGGCCUUGAGGAAGCCGUUCUUCCUCUCUGGGACUUAAGCUUCCAUCUGCAAAGGGAGUAUCAUAAACCUCACCUCAUGGAGUCAUUGCGGGGAUCCAAGGUGCCUCCUGCCCUCCAAAUAAAGGCCUAGCUGUUCAGUAGAGCCUGCAAGGCGGUGACCUGGCCCCUGCUGUGGUGAUGACCUCACUUCCUACCCAGCCCUCCGUGCCUCCAAAUACCCAACUACUCAGCACUCUUCCGUCUCUGGGCUGCUUCUACGGUGUUCUCUGUGCACGAGAACCUCCCGCCUCUGCGCUCCACUUGCAAAUUCAGACUUGGCCUUCCAGGCUCUGCUCAAAUGUCUUCUCUGGGAAGCAGCUUCUCUGAGCACCUGGGGGCUGAGUCAGGCCUCUCCCUGGGGUCCCCCACAGUCUCCUUGUGUGGCAGACUGACCUAGUAGUGGCUCCAAACUUUAACCUGUCCACGUAUCCAUGCCCUUGGCCGUGGAACUCUGGCUCCCUCUCAUUCUGACUCUGGGUAUAAGUAACCAUGACGCACAAGCACAGAGGCCAGGGCUGCUGCUGCCUCUUGUACCUCUGGGGCCCUGACAGCAGCCUGUGCUAGCCCACCAGGAGUGGGCAGAGCCGAAUUGCCUCAGUUGUCCCACCAAGGCCAUCCCAGUCCAGCCAGCAGUGGAAUCCCAGACUAUGUGAGUCAGGACAGCUGAGCCCAGCGGGGGCCCCCUGCCACCGGGUUCAGAUACCUGAGCACAUGCUCAGUGCUGGUGCUGCCCAGCACAGCUGAGGUGAUGGACGAGUGACCCGCCAUGCUUUUGUCCGCCCCGUGUGAACAUGACAUUGUGCCUGCUAUUUAGCCGCCUGGCUCUUCCGUUAGGCUCUGAGCUUCUUGAAGAUCAGACUGGCAUCUCACUCAUUUUUUAUCUGCAGCUCUCUGCACAGGGAAGAGAGGAGGCACUCUAUCCUUUCCCUAGCACCUUAGUGCCACCUGCUGUGGUCAGUCACUUCAGGUUUCAAGGCUCCUCAUUAAGCCCCUCAGACUAGACCCCAGAACUUUGGCACUCUGCAUUUGGGGCAUGCUGCUUCCACGUGGCAUAAGUUUCCACCAGUGGCAUCAGCCACAUGAUUCCAGAACACACGAUCUGAACAGAAAAGCUCAGGUAAUAAGGGGCGUACUGAGGUGGGCAACGGGGCCCUUGGGAGGUCCCCUCUGCCCAUCCUCCCCACACUUUUGUUUCUGGUAGGCAGAGAGCUGGAUAGGGCUGGGGUGCAGCAGCCCAGGCUGCACCCUGUAAUGAGCUGGCUGGAGAUAGGUCAGACCCCACCUCUGAGCCUUCUCCUAGCUCUGGCGAGCACCCUGAAAUUCAAUCCAUGACCACCUGGUGCAGGGUGUCAAUGGCAGCUUGGUGGCUGGGAUGAAUCACAGUAGGCUGUGGCCCGUUGGUGUGCACAUCACUAAGGCAACAGGCACUUCCUCCCACACAGAACACGCCUCGCAUGAAAGCAUCCACGUCAAGCUGGGGUGCUCCACUUCUCCUGGGGGCGGGGGCCGGGAUGCACAGGUUUCCUGUGACCACACCCUGCCACUGCAUACACCUGCUGCUCUUCAGUGUCAGCACCACCUGGCCUUGGUGAGGUCAUCUGUUCAAGUGCCCAGAAGACCCCACUGGAGGGGAAAUGGCUCCCCUGGGCCUUUCUAGACACACAGAGUCACUUCUGCAGUCAUGUGGCUUUCGUGGAGCUAGGAGGUGUUCCCAGGAGUUGGGUUACAAUCUGUAGGGUGCUAGGAACGGCCCUGGCGUGUAGUCAGAGAAUGCUUGGUCAAUAAUAAGACUUGAACUUUCCCAGAUUGGACCUGGAAGGACCCCUGUAGGUCAUCUGGUCCAGUGUUUUUUUUUUUUUUCUUUUUAAUGUUUCUUGGCCACAGAAUCCUUUUUUACUGUUACUGUUUUCCAAAGGACUUAGAACUCCAUAUGUGGAGCAGAUUAAAAAAAAAAAAAAAAGUGGAACUUUUUGUGACUGAUGGGAGAAG